rnacentral:rRNA from 1 species
UGGGGAAUCUUGCACAAUGGGGGAAACCCUGAUGCAGCGACGCCGCGUGAGCGAUGAAGGUUUUCGAAUCGUAAAGCUCUGUCCUAUGGGAAGAUAAUGACGGUACCAUGGGAGGAAGCCCCGGCUAACUACGUGCCAGCAGCCGCGGUAAUACGUAGGGGGCGAGCGUUGUCCGGAAUUACUGGGCGUAAAGGGUUCGCAGGCGGCAUGGCAAGUCCGAUGUAAAAGGCGAAGGCUCAACCUUCGUAAGCAUCGGAAACUGUCAAGCUUUAGUGUAGGGGAGGCCAGUGUAAUUCCUGGUGUAGCAGUGGAAUGCGUAGAUAUUAGGAGGAAUACCGGUGGCGAAGGCGACUUGCUGGACUUCAACUGUCGCUGAGGGACGAAAGGGUGGGUAGCAAACAGG